AUUGUUCCUCUGCCUGAGCACAGGUAGCCACAAGCAAGCUAAGAUCAAAGUGUCGUCUCUGUUCUUAUCAGUUUAAUAUCUGAUAUGUCCUUUAUUUGAGGACUGUAUAUUAAAUUGAUUUUUGAAACAGGGGGCUGGAAUAGGAGCUUGCUUUGUCCACCCCGUGCAUUGACCUGGUAUUGCAGUGUCUCCAGGAACAAAAAACCAAAA
rnacentral:snRNA from 1 species